rnacentral:rRNA from 1 species
GACGAACGCUGGCGGCGUGCUUAACACAUGCAAGUCGAACGGAAAGGCCCUGCUUGCAGGGUACUCGAGUGGCGAACGGGUGAGUAACACGUGGGUGAUCUGCCCUGCACUUCGGGAUAAGCCUGGGAAACUGGGUCUAAUACCGGAUAGGAGCCAUUUUUAGUGUGAUGGUUGGAAAGUUUUUUUCGGUGUAGGAUGAGCUCGCGGCCUAUCAGCUUGUUGGUGGGGUAAUGGCCUACCAAGGCGGCGACGGGUAGCCGGCCUGAGAGGGUGGACGGCCACAUUGGGACUGAGAUACGGCCCAGACUCCUACGGGAGGCAGCAGUGGGGAAUAUUGCACAAUGGGCGCAAGCCUGAUGCAGCGACGCCGCGUGGGGGAUGACGGCCUUCGGGUUGUAAACUCGUUUCGCUAGGGACGAAGCUUUUUGUGACGGUACCUAGAGAAGAAGCACCGGCUAACUACGUG